UACCCAGUUAAAAAUUAUAAAAUUUUGGCUUGGUUUUAUUUGAUUCAUAUCUUAGUAGUUUUCCUUUAAGUUGGAACAAAAAAAUGCCCAUCUAUUCAGAGUCCUUAUGUGUAUCUAAAAACAAUAUAACUCAUGAAAAUUUUCAGUGUUUACAAAACAAAGAAAAUUGUCAACAGAAUCCGUGGUGGUAGACUUACUAGAAAAAAAAUUACAAUCUAUAAUUCAUGAAGAUUGGCUUAAAACAAACUAUCCCUGCCAACAGAAAAUCUGACAAUUAUUCUGUUGUCUAAUUUGGCUCAGUCUAAGUUGACCUUGUUUAUUCAUCUCAGUCUUUUAAUUCUUCUUAUCUUGGCAUAAGAGGAGAACAUAUGGCAUAUGUCUAGGAAGUCCAUUUCUGCAUCUUAAACUGAAAUAAAUGUAGAAUAUACUGAGCAUCUCCAAUGUGUUCAGCUCUUAUGGUAGCUUAUACAUAUAAGAUAGAACUGGUUAAGUUCAUAUUAUCUGUAGUCAUUAGACAUUUUGUUUGCUGCCUAUAAAACUAGAAACUAAGUAGAGACAUCUUUUUCUAAGCCUUAGUAUAUAGCUAACACUGGCCAAUUUUAAAUAUAUUUCACAAGAAGACAGACAAUCUUAAGCUCUUUUAAAACAUAAAAAUUAAAGGGUAUCAGCAAUUUGACAACCUAAACAUGUUUACAGGUUUUCACUAAAACUCUCUCGACGUUUAAUGAAAUCUCUCUCUAAGUUUAAGAAAGCUGAUCAAGAUAAUGUGAGAAAGAUAACAGGAACUGAAGAACAAAAAGAAUAUUUCCAUUUUCUCUCCAGCUUAAUCUGGCCUCCAGUGAACUUUCUUAUUUCACCAAGACAGAUCAUAUCCUGAGUCAUAAAACAAAUCUUGAAUUUAAAAGAACAUACCAAGCAUGUUCUCUAACUAUAAUGGAAUUAUACUAGGAAUUAAUAACAAAGAUAUACAGAAAAAUCUACAAAAAUUUAGAAAUUAAAAACCACACUUCUAUUAAUCCAUAGGUCAAAAAUACAGUCUCAGGAAAAUCAGAACAUAUUAUAAAUUGAAAAAUAAAUUAUAAUAUAUCAACAUUUGUGGGAUGCAGCUUAAAUAGUGCUGAGUAGAGAUUUUAUUCCACUAAACGCUUACAAAGAAAAAAAGAAAUGUCUCAUUGAAGAGUCUAAGCUCCUACCUUGAGAAACUAGAAGAAAAAACAUAAAAAUAAACUCAAAUCACACAAAAGAAAAGAAUAAAAGAGCAUACAUCAUUGAAAUUGAAAACAGAAAAACAAGGAAAUCAAUUAAAUCAAAAGCUUAAAAGUUGUUGUUUGAAAAGAUCAAUUUUGAUAAAACUCUAGUCAGACUGACAAAGAAAAAAGACAGGAUUUCAAUGUCAGGAAUGAAAGAGGAUAUUAAAAUGUUAAAUAGAUAAUUAUUUUAUUAUUGUGAACUACUCUAUGCAUACAAAUAUGACAACAUAGUUGGAAUGGACUAUUUGAAAACCACAAGCUAUGAAGCUUGCUAAAAAUGAAACAGAUAAUCUGAAUACUCCUGUAAAUAUUCAAAAAACUGAAUUUACAGUUGAAAAGCAAAACUCCAAAAAGGACAUACCCAGGUCCAGAUAGUCUCACUAGUAAACUUGACCAAACAUUUAGAGGAAAAUAAAAUACCAUCAAGGUGCUCAAUCUUUAUCACAAAAUAAGGAUCAAAAAGCAUGUCCCAUCUCAUUUUCUAAAGCUCCCAUUACCCAGAGUACAAAAUAUACAAACAAACAAAUAGGAAACCAGUAAGACCAGUGGUAUAAUUUAUGGUAAACUUAGACCAGUAUCCCUCAUAAAUAUAGAAGCAAAAAUCCUCAACAAAAGCUUAAGAAAUAUAAUACAGUCAUAUAUUUUUUAAAAAUAAUACAACACAAUCAAGUGCAGUUUAUCUUGGGAAUGCAAAGCUCAUUCAAUACUGAAAAAUCAAUCAAUAAAAUCGACUAUAUUGACAGUUUAAAGAAGAAAAAUUAGUUGAUCAGAUCAACUGAUGUAAAAGAGUAUUUGACCAGAUUUUAUACCCAUUUAGGAUUUUUUUUAACUCAGAAAACUAGGAAUAACAAGGAGCUUCCUCAAUCUACACAGAGAAGCUAUGGAGAAAAAAAAAAAAAGCUACAGCUAAAUUGGUAGAGAAAGACUGUUUUCCUCCUACGACUGAGAACACAUCUGGGCAUACAGCAAAGAUGUCCAGUCUCACCACGCUUAUACAACACUGUGCUGAAAGUCUUAGCUAGUGUAAUACGACAAAAAAGAAAAAAAAGAAAAGAAAAGAAAAAGAAAGAAAAAACAUACAGCUUCGAAAAGUAAAGCCAUCUUCCCUUUUUGUAGGCAACAUAGAAAAUCUGAAGGAUAUCUGCAAAAAAACUCCUACAACUAAUAAGUAAGUUUAGCAAGGUCACAGAAUAUACAACCAACACAUAAAAGUCAAUUGUAUUUCUAUAUACUAGUAAUGUACAUUUGGAAGUCAGAGUUUUUAAAUUUACUAUAGCUCCAAAAUAAAUGACAUUACUCAGGUAUAAAACUAACAAAACGUAUACAGAAUCUAUGCCAAUGACUAUAAAUACUGUUUAAAGUCAUCAAAGAAGAUCUAAAUAAAUGGAUAUACACACUAGGUUUAUGGAUUUGAAAACUCAACACAAUAAAGAUGUAGUUGUCUUCUGACUGAUCUAAAGAUGUAACACAAUUCUAAUCAAAAAACCCAUAAAGUUUUUUUUUUGUAGACACAGACAAGCUGAAUAUAAAAUUUAUACAGAAAGACAAAUAAACUAGAAAAAAAUAAUUUUAAAAGGUGAAGUAAUGUUGAAGGAAUCAUGCAAGAUCUUAAGUUUUUCUAAAGCAGGAGUCAGCAAACAUUUUCUAAGAAGGGCCAAUCAGUAAGUGUUUUAGGUUUUGAAGGUCAUACAGUCCCCUGCCACAGCUACUGAAGUCUGAAAUUGUAGUGAGACAGCAGCCACUGACAAUAUGUAAAUGAAUGGGUGCAGGUGUGUUCCAAUAAAACUGUAUUUAUAAAACUAGGCCUGGACUGGAUGUGGCCAUAGACUGUGGUUUGCCAUUUCCUGCUCUCAAGCUAAACUAAUAAAGAAAUUAUGGUAUUAGCAAAAGGACAGAUACACAGAUUAAUGAAACAGAACUCAAAAGUAGACCCAUACAAAUAUGCCCAACUGAUUUUUAACAAAAGUACGAAGGCAAUUCAGUGAACAAAGGACACUCUUCAACAAAUGAUAAACAACUGGACAUCUAUGUGUAAGAAUCAUUAGCCCCAAACCAAACCUCACACUUUACUCAACUCAAAAUGGAUCAUAUAUCUAAAUAUAAAAAGUAAAACUAUAAAGCAUUUAGAAGAAACCAUAUGAGGAAAUCUUCAUGAUCUGGGAUUAGUCAAAGAAUUCUCAGAUCUGACACUGAAAGCACAAUCCAUAAUUUUAAGAAAUUAAUAAGCUAGAUUUCACCAACUUUUGCUCUUCAAAGGUCACUCUUAAGAGUAUGAAAAAACAAGCUACAUGCUACGAGAAAAUAUGUGCAAAUCACAUAACAGAUGUUGAAUUUAUAUCCAGAAUAUAUUUUUUUAAACUGUCAAAACUCAACAAUAAGAGAAGAACCCAAUUAAAAUGGGCAGAACACUUGAACAGAUACUUUAAUAAGGUGAUAUACAGAUGGCAAAUAAGCACAUGGAAAAAUAUUCAACAUCAUUAGUCAUGAGGAAAAUGCAAAAUUAAAACCAUGAUGAGAUAUCCCUGCACACUUAUUAGAAUAUCUGUAAUAAAAACAUACGGACAAUACUAAGCACUAUGAUGCAAAGUAACUCAGUAUCUCAUUCAUUGCUGGUGAGAAUACAGAAAUGGAAGAGCCAUCCUGGGAAACAGUUUAGCAGUUUCCUAUAAAGAAAAAAUAUAUUUAGCAUGAGCCGGCAAUCCUAUUCUUGAGUAUUUACCCUAGUGAAAUGAAAACUUGUGUCACACAAAAACCUACAGAUGAAUGUUGAUAACCAUGGUACUUAUAAUUGCCAAAAUCUGAGAAAACAAAUAUCCUUCAACAGGUGAAUAAACAAACUGAUACAUCUAUAAAACGGAAUACAGCUUAGCAAUAAAAAGUAACAAACUAUUGAUAAAUGUAGCAUCUGGAUGAAUAUCAGGAGCAAUAUACUGAGUGACAGAAGCUAGCAACAGAAGUUUAUAUGUAUGAUUCCAAUUAUACAACAUUUUUGAAGUCAAAACUAUAGUUAUGGUGAGAAAUAACUGCCAGGAGUUACUGUUAGGGGAGGGUGUGAUUAUAAAGUAUGAAGCAAUUUUCUUGGCAUGACAAAACUAUUUUGUAUUCUGUUUGUGGUGUGGUAGUAAUAACAUGAAUCCAUAUAGCUGUUAAAAUUCAUAAACUCUACAUCUUUAAGAGUCCAUUUUAAUAUAUAAUAAUCUAAGUAAUCAAAUUUUUAAAAUAAAAAAUCAUAGUUUUAAAGAGUUACCUAAAACCUAAGACUUUAAACCUUAAAAUAUAAUCUCAGCUUUGUUAAAAAAAAAAAAACAUAAUAGUAAGUAUAGGAGCUAGCUAUCCAGAUAACUCUGGAUAUAUGGAUUAUGUUAAUGUUCUUUUUCUGUGUUUUUUUAGUUUUUCUACACUAAUAAUGGAUUACUCUUUAAAUUAGGAAAUUAAAGUUUAUUUAAUAAAAAACAUCUACAUUCAUUCUAAUUUUGAAAUACCCUAAGCAUCACAUUUAGAGUUCAGAGCAUCACAUUUUUUCCAUGAUUACUUUUUUGAAAAUUGCAUAUGUGAAAUAUUUUAUUUGUAUAUUAAAGUUGAAUUUAAUUGUUUUUUAAAAUGUCCUGUAAAAUAUUUGAUGGUGAGAAAGUUAAAGACAGUUUUCAACAUUUUUACAUUAUGGAAUUUAAGUGAUUAUAUUGUUCAAAAGUUCCAAGGAAAUUUGUUUUCCCAAGGAAAUUUUUUAAAGCCUCGUAAGUUUGAAAGUAUUCAGUACUUAAAAUCUGUAACAUAUUUAACCCUAUAAUUUUCUUUUUCAUCCUUUUUCCAAUGAAAAAAACCUAUAUAUAACAGACAAGUAUCUGACAGAAGGAAUGAACCUGAAAAAGGCAACUCUGCUGGAUCUUUGAUGGCUAAGAUCUAUAAUGAAGAAGAAGAAAACAUGAGAGAAGACUGCAUAGGACAGGAAAUUGGAGAUGGUGGUUCUCUCAGAAUGGUUCACUUUGGUUUGGUAUAAAUAAUAAGAAACUUGUUUUUCACUUUAAAAAGAAACCCACAUUUUUCACAUCUAAACUUUUCAUGGCCUGAUGUAGAUUAAAAUCUCUGUAUGGAUUAAAAAGAGGAAAAACAAUAUGAAUUAGGUAAAACAUUGAAAUUCAGAGUGUUUUCAAAGUACAGCUUUAUUUGGUUCAAAAAAUAUGCAGCAUAACACCAAAGUCACCCUAAGUAGAAGUCUUUAACUUAUUUUCAAUAAUGUAAAAAUUUUGAAGUUUCUUAAAUUGUACAAUUUUUAGGUGAUUCAAAAGUAGAAUAUUUAAACUUGGUUCUUCCAAGUAUUUUAAACAGCUCUUGUGAUACUAUUUACAUUAUUAACUUACAUGAUGAACAAAAUAUUUAUUAAGCAAAAAGCCCAGUCCCACUGUUUUCCAGGGGUCUCCUGAAUUACUGAUAUGAGGCACUGACUGCUACUUGGAACACAGACACUAUCUUCCUCUGGAGCAAAGGGCAAGCAUGCUUACUGCCCAUUAAAAAAGAUUUGAAUUCCCUAAGCUCAGUGUUUCUAUCCUUUACACAGCCCACUGAGUGUGGAGGUGUCACCUGUCCCUCUUCACAUCACUCUGUGGUAAUGGGGCUCAGGAAAUCAGUGCCCCGCCCCCAAAAAAAGUUGAUACUCUAGCUUCUAUUGUUUUAAGUAAUAAACUCUCUUUUGUCUCUGACCCAGGAGUUCCGUGUCUUCUACCUGCAUGAAACUGUAGUUUAGUAACUUUUUGGCUUACAAGUAGGGUAAAAAUCUCAGACCAUUCACAGUUCUUGGCACCCAUUCAUUAGCAGGUAGGACAUAUUUUAUAAUUGUAAAUGUCUAUAAUAAUCAACAUUUCCAAAUAUUGUACAUGAGGUAAAUUAUAUAUUUAAAUCUUAUAGUUAAAAGUUAAUUAGAUUGAAUUCUUUUAUACUUCAGAUUUUUCUCCCUACUUCCUAUUCAUCUGUACCUCUAUGAGAGGGUGUGAUAAAGGUGAAACCCAAAUUAGCUUUUUCAAUGUGCUACUGCUCUAGAAAAGUUUUAGUAAUACAUCAUACCUGAGCCAUAUUAAAAAGAGAUGGAAAGUUACCAGUGAAUUUUUCUUUUACUAUUCUUUUCUUUAUCACAAUCAAAAGUUAACUAAAUUUUUAAGGAAAAAUUACAUUGAGAAAGAUAUUGUUCUGCCAAGAUUGCAAUAGUUUCUCCAGAUUUUCUAGUAAACAGUCAUUACCCAGAAAUACCAAACACAUUUUCCAAUCUACCAUAUCCUUUUGUUCAUUUAACCACUGUCUUCAAUGACAAAGAGAGAGACUGGUAGAAAAGUUCAAGUACUAUUUCUAGGUCCUUGGUGAGUAGACCACAGUCUAUGCUAAAGAGUAAAAAUUCUAAUGAAAUGUUAAGAUAAAAUAUGGAUAUAAAUAAAACUAUUUUGUUCUAUAUAAUGAUGAUGAUGUUGAUGAUAGGUUUGCCAAUUAUCUAGGUGAAAAUUAAACAAAACUUAGUUCUUAGAUAAACAGCCCAUUUUCCCCACUUCACAUGCUUCUGGAAAAAUUAACUCAAAUAUAUAGAAAACCAAGUUUAGAUAGUAGCAAUGUAUUAUACAUGAUAUAUUCAACAAUGUCCAUGACUUAUAAAUGUUGUGCUUUCCAAAUGUUAUGCAGCUGGGGAUGUUUAUUAAUUAUUCCAAUAAAUUGAUAUUUCUGCUCUG